rnacentral:rRNA from 1 species
UUCGCAAUGCCCGAAAGGGUGACGAAGCGACGCCGCGUGUGGGAAGGAGGCCUUCGGGUUGUAAACCACUGUCGGGAGUUAAGAAGUGUAGGGAGGUUAAUAGUCUCCUUACUUGACGUUAGCUCCGGAGGAAGCCACGGCUAACUCUGUGCCAGCAGCCGCGGUAAUACAGAGGUGGCAAGCGUUGUUCGGAAUUAUUGGGCGUAAAGAGCACGUAGGCGGCCCUGCAAGUCAGCUGUGAAAUCCUUCUGCUCAACGGAAGAACGGCAGUUGAUACUAUAGGGCUCGAGUGCGGGAGGGGAGAGUGGAACUUCUGGUGGAGCGGUGAAAUGCGUAGAUAUCAGAAGGAACAUCGGCGGCGAAGGCGACUCUCUGGCCCGUAACUGACGCUGAGGUGCGAAAGCUAGGGGAGCAAACGGGAUUAGAUACCCCGGUAGUCCUAGCCGUAAACGAUGGGCACUAAGUAGAGGGGUU